UGGCAUGAUUCUUUUUGCUGAAACAGCUAUAACAUUCUUGGAGACCCCAGUGAGACGACUCCGCCACCGUGAGAUGGCCUCCCUCCAUGUCUCCCCGCGCAGGAGGCAGGGUGUAGGGGAGGUGCCCCCUGAGAUGAUCCAGGGCCCUGCAUCCCAGAUGCUGACCUGAGGGACAUGGAAGGACCAGCGAUCAAGACAACAUUUCUGAGUUCCCAGGAACCCUCCACUUGGAGGUCAACUUCUUGGAUGUCCAGGACACAAGAUAGAUUCACCAGCCAUCUCACCAUUCCUUGGACCAAGACUCCUUUUGAAUUCAAGAUUUCUUUUGAUCCUUUUCAUGAUGCCUUGUCUGAUUGUGUUUUUUCCUUUUCCUAUGGGAGCUUCCCAGGUUAAAUCCCAAACUCCCCUCCAAUGCAUGUUGUCUCACUUCUCUGAGUGUUUUUCUGGCCAACAUAGUGUGACCAUGAAAUAAAGUUGGCUGCAGUCCCUAUGUGAAGUACAGUGGCCCAAAUUUAAUGUAGGCUGGCCAGAUGCAGGGUGUCUUGAUCCUCAGGUGGUCCUCAGAAGUGACUGGGAAACCAGGCCACCAUCAUCAGUACCCUUAUGUUGACUCAUGGUUGUCACUGACCAUUCACCCUCCACCUUGGCUGAGAGCCUGUGCCAUGAAUUGACCUACAGUGAGGGUGCUAGUCUCCCACUCUGCUCCUGCAGUGCCUGGGACUCAAAGACUCCCCUGGGUCCUACCGCCAUCAGAUGAUGGGAAGGAUGAAUUGCCUCCUCCAUAUAACCCCCCUAGAC
rnacentral:lncRNA from 1 species